rnacentral:lncRNA from 1 species
UUAUGUUGUUCUUUUGUUUUGGCCUGGCAGGCCAAACCAAAACAGAGUCUGCUUUCGUGUUGGGGCCUUUUCAAGCAAACUUUUGUUUUAAUUUUGAAAGGGUUUUUUUUUUAUUUUCACGGCCAGUUUGAUAGAAUUUUGUGUAACCGAGGGCAAAUCGCGAUAUUGUGGUGUGAAAAAUAGAAUUUUACAGUGGAAGAAGUUGUUUAUUCUGCAAUAAGGUUGGGAAGUUGCCGUGGCUGCCGUGUUAUGUUCAUUCUGCAUUUGUCAAGACAAAUUCACUUAGUGUUCAUAAUCCAGAUGAUCGCUUCGGCUGGUGCUUCUAGCAUUCUCUGGAUUUUCAACAGAGUAUAUCGUGGACGAACUUGUGUGAAUCAAGCUGCUGAAAUUCUUGCUGGAACUGCGCCACAAUAUCGCUAGGCCGUCCGUAAAAAGCUAUUGGGUCGGUGGACGGUCAUGAGCAACUCCCGAGAAAAACGGUGAUUCGGAGCACUAGCAACGGAGAGUUUCAUCGGAACGAGAUGGCGACAGUAAGACACGGGAAUGCAAACUAAUGUGAGAAAUGGCUUCAGGAAAGAUCGAAAAUUCUAUGGCCAACGUUCCACGGUGGAGUUUCUAUCAUUAUUCAACCGAAGGUUGGAUCCGAAGACUGUCGAUCGAAGGAAAAAUGAAGUAAUGCUUGUUACCGAAUAAAUAAAAUCUAUUUGCAAA